rnacentral:lncRNA from 1 species
GCUCCAUGCUCUGCCUCCCUGGCUGCCCUUCAUUCACUCCCCUGAGCUCUAGCCUCCCGAAAGCCUUUGCACCACCAUUCCUUGCACCCAGAACGCUCUUCCUUCUCCUCUCUGCCAGCAGCCCCUCCUUAUCUCCUACUUCAGAUCCCCUUUCAGGGGUCCUCCUGGGUUCCAUCUAGGAGCCAUCCCUGCCCCCACCCCUUCCCAUUCCCCACAGCGUUUCUGGGAUCUGCAUGGCUCAAUAACCAAGCCACGCCAUUGGUUAAGGAAGGCAUGGUGGCUGAGCACCUAUGGUGCGCCAGGCCCUGUGUGAUCCAGGCUCUUCCCAUCCACUCUCAUUGAAUCCCACAACCACUCCGAAAGGAAAGGUACUUCUAAGCUCAUCCUACAGGUGAGGCCCCUGAGACUCAGAGACGUGAAGUGUCCUGCCAAAGGUGACACAGCUGGAGGGUGGCAGAGCUGGGAUUCACAUCUGGGUCCAUCUGGGGCUCGGAGGCUUACAGCCCUGAUGUUGAUCUUCCAAAGGCUGAUCUCUCCAUACGAAUCAUCAAACAGCCGUCGGACGCUAAAUCUGGGUUUCUGACAGGGUUACAUGUUUCAGAAUAAAGGCAAGAUGCAGAAUGAUGCCUGCAGUUGCCCCCACCCAACCCCUGCAAAGCCAACUUUGCAGAGCUGGGGAAACUGAGGCACGGUUCCCAGGGGAGUGGGAUUGCAUGGGAAUAGUGAGCAGGUUGCUUGUAUUUUUACUGCAUACAGCUCCUUUCAUACUCCCUUGUGGUUGACAAGUGUGUUCGUGAAUCCUCAGUCCCCUGUCCCCUUCUGACGGGGGUCCUGUCCGCAAUAGGUGGCAACUGGUCAAAGCAUCUGAACCCACGUGAGGGUGAUGAUGGCCCCGGGCUUGCUGUGUCUUACAUGGUGCACACGGAGCCUACUGACCCUUCCUCUAUUUGUUAAAAAGAGGAGAUUCCUCCCCGUUUCAGAGUUUCAGGCACUGGUGUAGGCUCAUGGGAUGUUUUUUUGUUUUUUGUUUGUUUGUUUGUUUGUUNNNNNNNNNNNNNNNNNNNNNNNNNNNNNNNNNNNNNNNNNNNNNNNNNNNNNNNNNNNNNNNNNNCACCUCCCAGGUUCAAGUGAUUCUCCUGCCUCAGCCUCCCAAGUAGCUGGGAUUACAGGCGCCCACCACCAGGCCUGGCUAAUUUUUUUUUGUAUUUUUAGUAGAGACGGGGGUUUCACCAUGUUGGCCAGGUUGGUCUCGAUCUCCUGACCUCUGGUGAUCCACCCGCCUUGGCCUCCCAAAGUGCUGGGAUUAUAGAUGUGAGCCACCAUGCCUGGCCGGGAGAUGAAUUUUUAAAUACUACUAAUAAUACACACAAAUAAUAAAAUUACCACCACCACCACCACCACCACCACCACACACCCCGUUUCCUUCUCACUUAUCUCUGUGCUUCUCACAACCUCACAAGGUGUGACAUGAACCCCCACCCCAAGCCCACAGGCUGGUGCUGCCCUUGCGCCCAGGCUGGUGAAUGUGCCCAUCUCCCCGGCUCCUCCCCACUUCCUCUUUGUCCUUCCUCUUUCCCAUCGUAUUUUUAGAAAUCUUUGAGCUUGCAGCCCUGCUUCCAGGACAGCUGGCCUCACUUCCCCUUUCCAGGGCAGGAGGAAGAUGCCAUCUCAGGGCCCUAAAUAAAGAGGCCCCUCAAAGUCUCAGUAGGAGGGACCCUGGGGCAGAGGGGGUGUGGGUGGAGCUGCUCCCCGCCCCAGCCCCACAAGCCCCACAGGCUCUGCGGAGUGCGGCUUCCUCCCCACCAGCCGAGCUGGCUCUAUUUUUAACUGCGCUGCCUGUCUUCUCUGCACCAGCGCAGUGCUUGUCUUUGGUCACACUGGGGCUUUGCUGUCUGGCCCUCUCACCUUCCCGGCAGGCCCUGGGGGAGGGCGCCUUACCUGCUUCCUGACACAGGCCCACCUCAGGAGAGGAGGGGAGGCAACCCUGGGGGCCCCUGAGUCACCAGCCUGUCCAUAAUAAAGGUGAGAAAACUGAGGCCCAUAGAAGGAAGAGACCAUGACCACUGGCAGGGUGGUGCAGAGCUGGAACCUGAGCGAGGUCCGGCUAACUCCCAAUCCCCGCUUCCCCAGGCCAGGCCAGGAUGAUGGCACCCACGUAGAGAUGACAAAUCGGAACUCAGAGAGGGGAAGUCACCGUGCUAUGAAGAAGCCCCAAUUAAGACCCAGUCUGGGCAACAGGGAAAUGACCUUUCCUCCCUCCCUCUGGCCUCCUCCUCAAGGAGGUCUUCCCAGAUCUCCUCUGCCCCAGUGGGAAAAGUUGCUUCCUCCCGUCUGUAGGUCUGUGUCCAUUUGCACAGCUGGGUCAGGGGCUCUCUCCCGCAGGUUCUCGUCCCUGCUCUGCUGCUGACUGGCCGUGUGACCUCAAGCAAGUCAGUCCCCGUCUCUAGUUCACCUCUGGGAGCCUCAGUUUCAGCAGCAGGGACCUUUGCCAGGGAGGGACAGAGGUGGAAACAAACAAACAAACAAACAAACGGAUGAAGUGAGGGGAGGGCCAGAUAAAAAAGAGAAAGACAGUGAGACAGAAAGAAACACACAGACACAUAUGCACAUACACACGUACACAUGCACAGACACCGAGGGCGAUGUUCACUGAGGACGAACAUUUUCCAGGGGACCAUGGGCAUUCACCUGGCAGCCUCCUCACAUAUAUGCCAUAGGAGCACCCAACUUGGACAGUCCUAGCAGGGCCCCCUGUGUUCCACCCCACAAGCUCUCUUCCAACUCCCACUUGAGAAGAGACAAAUGAAUUCAGUGCUAGGAAGGGCUUUGCUUCCCUUCAAAGAAAUAUCUGGCUUUUUCUUGUCUAGUGAACAAUCGGGUAAUAUGUUCCACUUUCCUUCUCCCCCAGGCUGCUGGGAAACUCAUCGUCAAAUCCAAAGCUCAUUGACAGCUAUUCUAUGAUGUCAUGUGAACUUUGGGGCCUGACUCAGCUGUUUGACUCUCAGCUAGGGCUAGUCAGCCUCGCUUUGGUUAUCUCUGAAAGGGGAAUAACACUAACUCGGGGAUAUGGAAACCAUGGAGUGAGAGGAUGUGUCGGAGAUGCUUGGGACAUAGUAGGUGCUCAAUAAACACUUUCUCCUUUGAUUUUAAUUAUCUUCUUUGGUUAAAAUGUAUCAUGUUAUUCCUUGUGCCUUUUCUGGCAGGUUGGUUCAAAUUCUUUCUGCAAAAAGCUUUGCUGUAAAGAAACAGGUAUAAAUUAAAUGUGAAUUCCCUAUAACUUCAGGACACAUGCAGAGUUAUUCAUCUGUUUCCCCAUUACUCUCCAGGCCCCAUGAGGGCAAGGUUACCUUUUGUGUUCUGGCGUGUGGUAAAAUGCUGGGGACAUAGAGGGUGUGCAAGUGUGGAAUGAAUGAACAAAUGAAUGAAUGAAUGAAUGAAGGGAACAUGGAGGAGAUCACGGCGGAUAUGAAAGCUAGCUACAAGUUCACCUCCUUUUCACUAUGCCGCUGCUUCUGCUGUCAAGGGGUGAAGUCCAUUUCUCCUUCCUUGGAAGCUGAGCUGGCCUUGGGCAUCUCUUUGACCAAUAGCACGUGGCAGAAAUGAUGUGCCAUGAUGUUCGAGGCUGAGCUUUAAAAGGCCUUGCAGCUCCUGCUCUUGCUCUCAGCCCCCUGCCCGGCUACCAUGAGAACAAGCCUGGGCUAGCCUGUUGGAAGACGGAGGACCACAAGGAGAUAGGCUGGGCUGUCUUGGCUGUCCCCUGGUUGCUGCCUCAUCAGUGAGGCCAGGGGACACCAGAAGAAGAACCAUCAAGCGGAGU